ACGAACUUCUGCUCAUCUUGGAGACAUCUCUCAAGUUUUGCUCGGAGAAGAAGAAACUCCAAAAAUCCAAGCCUGGGUGGGGAGUGGAGACGACGAAGCUGAUUCGACCAGAUUAGUACAGUUUUGCAGCUAGCAGUGUGUGAUGUGAACCGCGUUGAUGAAUUUGAGCUCGGCGCGGUUGGUUGGGAGUACAGAUGGAAUCAGCAAACUGAAUCUGUCUCUCAGUUGAAGACUCUCUGUUAAAAGACUAACGGAGGAAACAAAAGAGUAUUGUUUACUACUAUGGCCAAGCAUUUCAACGUUCAUUCUGCGAUAUCAUCCUAGGAAGUUUGGGCCACUUGUGUGGUUUCUGUUAGCUUUAAUCUUGAUUCAUGUAUCUGCAUGUUUAGUCUGAGUUUUGCACGUAAUUUAGUGGCCCGAGUAUCGUGUCGUGAAUUAUACAUUUUGCAUCUAUAUAAAGCCAUCAUUUUGGAUUA